rnacentral:rRNA from 1 species
UUAAGUUAUUAAGGGCGCACGGUGGAUGCCUUGGCACUAGAAGCCGAUGAAGGACGUUACUAACGACGAUAUGCUUUGGGGAGCUGUAAGUAAGCUUUGAUCCAGAGAUUUCCGAAUGGGGGAAAACCCCAGCAUGAGUUAUGUCAUGUUAUCGAUAUGUGAAUACAUAGCAUAUCAGAAGGCACACCCGGAGAACUGAAACAUCUUAGUACCCGGAGGAAGAAAAAGAAAAUUCGAUUCCCUUAGUAGCGGCGAGCGAAACGGGAAGACGCCCAAACCAACAAGCUUGCUUGUUGGGGUUGUAGGACACUCUAUACGGAGUUACAAAGGACGACAUUAGACGAAUCAUCUGGAAAGAUGAAUCAAAGAAGGUAAUAAUCCUGUAGUCGAAAAUGUUGUCUCUCUUGAGUGGAUCCUGAGUACGACGGAACACGUGAAAUUCCGUCGGAAUCUGGGAGGACCAUCUCCUAAGGCUAAAUACUCUCUAGUGACCGAUAGUGAACCAGUACCGUGAGGGAAAGGUGAAAAGCACCCCGGAAGGGGAGUGAAAUAGAACCUGAAACCGUGUGCUUACAAGUAGUCAGAGCCCGUUAAUGGGUGAUGGCGUGCCUUUUGUAGAAUGAACCGGCGAGUUACGAUUUGAUGCAAGGUUAAGCAGUAAAUGUGGAGCCGUAGCGAAAGCGAGUCUGAAUAGGGCGUUUAGUAUUUGGUCGUAGACCCGAAACCAGGUGAUCUACCCUUGGUCAGGUUGAAGUUCAGGUAACACUGAAUGGAGGACCGAACCGACUUACGUUGAAAAGUGAGCGGAUGAACUGAGGGUAGCGGAGAAAUUCCAAUCGAACCUGGAGAUAGCUGGUUCUCUCCGAAAUAGCUUUAGGGCUAGCCUCAAGUGAUGAUUAUUGGAGGUAGAGCACUGUUUGGACGAGGGGCCCCUCUCGGGUUACCGAAUUCAGACAAACUCCGAAUGCCAAUUAAUUUAACUUGGGAGUCAGAACAUGGGUGAUAAGGUCCGUGUUCGAAAGGGAAACAGCCCAGACCACCAGCUAAGGUCCCAAAAUAUAUGUUAAGUGGAAAAGGAUGUGGCGUUGCCCAGACAACUAGGAUGUUGGCUUAGAAGCAGCCAUCAUUUAAAGAGUGCGUAAUAGCUCACUAGUCGAGUGACACUGCGCCGAAAAUGUACCGGGGCUAAACAUAUUACCGAAGCUGUGGAUUGUCCUUUGGACAAUGGUAGGAGAGCGUUCUAAGGGCGUUGAAGCAUGAUCGUAAGGACAUGUGGAGCGCUUAGAAGUGAGAAUGCCGGUGUGAGUAGCGAAAGACGGGUGAGAAUCCCGUCCACCGAUUGACUAAGGUUUCCAGAGGAAGGCUCGUCCGCUCUGGGUUAGUCGGGUCCUAAGCUGAGGCCGACAGGCGUAGGCGAUGGAUAACAGGUUGAUAUUCCUGUACCACCUAUAAUCGUUUUAAUCGAUGGGGGGGACGCAGUAGGAUAGGCGAAGCGUGCGAUUGGAUUGCACGUCUAAGCAGUAAGGCUGAGUAUUAGGCAAAUCCGGUACUCGUUAAGGCUGAGCUGUGAUGGGGAGAAGACAUUGUGUCUUCGAGUCGUUGAUUUCACACUGCCGAGAAAAGCCUCUAGAUAGAAAAUAGGUGCCCGUACCGCAAACCGACACAGGUAGUCAAGAUGAGAAUUCUAAGGUGAGCGAGCGAACUCUCGUUAAGGAACUCGGCAAAAUGACCCCCGUAACUUCGGGAGAAGGGGUGCUCUUUAGGGUUAACGCCCCAGAAGAGCCGCAGUGAAUAGGCCCAAGCGACUGUUUAUCAAAAACACAGGUCUCUGCUAAACCGUAAGGUGAUGUAUAGGGGCUGACGCCUGCCCGGUGCUGGAAGGUUAAGAGGAGUGGUUAGCUUCUGCGAAGCUACGAAUCGAAGCCCCAGUAAACGGCGGCCGUAACUAUAACGGUCCUAAGGUAGCGAAAUUCCUUGUCGGGUAAGUUCCGACCCGCACGAAAGGCGUAACGAUUUGGGCACUGUCUCAACGAGAGACUCGGUGAAAUCAUAGUACCUGUGAAGAUGCAGGUUACCCGCGACAGGACGGAAAGACCCCGUGGAGCUUUACUGUAGCCUGAUAUUGAAAUUCGGCACAGCUUGUACAGGAUAGGUAGGAGCCUUUGAAACGUGAGCGCUAGCUUACGUGGAGGCGCUGGUGGGAUACUACCCUAGCUGUGUUGGCUUUCUAACCCGCACCACUUAUCGUGGUGGGAGACAGUGUCAGGCGGGCAGUUUGACUGGGGCGGUCGCCUACCUAAAAGGUAACGGAGGCGCUCAAAGGUUCCCUCAGAAUGGUUGGAAAUCAUUCAUAGAGUGUAAAGGCAUAAGGGAGCUUGACUGCGAGACCUACAAGUCGAGCAGGGUCGAAAGACGGACUUAGUGAUCCGGUGGUUCCGCAUGGAAGGGCCAUCGCUCAACGGAUAAAAGCUACCCCGGGGAUAACAGGCUUAUCCUCCCCCAAGAGUUCACAUCGACGGGGAGGUUUGGCACCUCGAUGUCGGCUCAUCGCAUCCUGGGGCUGUAGUCGGUCCCAAGGGUUGGGCUGUUCGCCCAUUAAAGCGGUACGCGAGCUGGGUUCAGAACGUCGUGAGACAGUUCGGUCCCUAUCCGUCGUGGGCGUAGGAAAUUUGAGAGGAGCUGUCCUUAGUACGAGAGGACCGGGAUGGACAUACCUCUGGUGUACCAGUUGUCGUGCCAACGGCAUAGCUGGGUAGCUAUGUGUGGACGGGAUAAGUGCUGAAAGCAUCUAAGCAUGAAGCCCCCCUCAAGAUGAGAUUUCCCAACUUCGGUUAUAAGAUCCCUCAAAGAUGAUGAGGUUAAUAGGUUCGAGGUGGAAGCAUGGUGACAUGUGGAGCUGACGAAUACUAAUCGAUCGAAGACUUAAUCAA